rnacentral:rRNA from 1 species
GACGAACGCUGGCGGCGUGCUUAACACAUGCAAGUCGAACGGAAAGGCACUUCUUGUUUGGCAUGCUCGAGUGGCGAACGGGUGAGUAACAUGUGAGUAACCUUCCCUUUACUUUUGGAUAACUUCAGGAAACUGUGGUUCAUACCGGAUUGGAGCUCCUGCAUCGUUUUUGUGUUUGGAAUGUUUCGGUGGAUGGUGAUUAACUCGCGGCUUAUCUGCUUGUUGGUGGGGUCGUGGCUUAACACGGCUUUGACGGGUAGCCGGCCUGAGAGGGUGACCGGGCACAGUGCGAGAGUGAUACGGGCCGCAGUAGUACGGGAGGCAGGAGUGGGGACUAAUGCACGAUGGGCGGAAGCCUGGUGCAGCAACGCCGCGCGCGGGAUUACGGCCUUCGGGUUGUAAACAGCUUUCGCCGGUAACUAAGGGUGAGUGACGGUAAUUGGUAAAGAAGCACCGGCUAACUACGUG